rnacentral:snRNA from 1 species
GGAUGUGAGGGCGAUCUGGCUGCAACACCUGUCAGUCACCAGGGUUGAUUCAGCUGAUCUGGCUGGCUAGGCGGGUGUCCCCCUCCUCCCUCACCGAUCCAUGUGCAUCCCUUCCGAAGUUGCACGCUCGGUCGAACAGGACGACCUUCCCCCCCAGGUGAGGACCGGUCUUCGGUCAAGGGUAUACGAGUAGCUGCGCUCCCCUGCUAGAACCUCCAAACAAGCUCUCAAGGUCCAUUUGUAGGAGAACUAAGGGUAGUGAAGCUUCCAAGACUCCAGACACAUCCAAAUGAAGCGCUGCACGUGGAAGUCUACCUUCCUUU